CCCUUAGAUGUUCUGGGCCGCACGCGCGCUACACUGAUUCAUGCAACGAGUUUUGUCCUUGGCUGAAAGGCCUGGGUAAUCUUUGAACGUGAAUCGUGCUGGGGAUAGAUGAUUGCAAUUAUUCAUCUUCAACGAGGAAUUCCUAGUAAACGCAAGUCAUCAGCUUGCAUUGAUUACGUCCCUGCCCUUUGUACACACCGCCCGUCGCACCUACCGAUUGAAUGGUCCGGUGAAAUCUUCGGAUCUGAGAGAUGUUGGAUUAAUUUCUGACGCCUUUUGGAAAAGUCGCUUAAACCUUAUCACUUAGAGGAAGGUGAAAUCGUAACA
rnacentral:rRNA from 1 species